AUACGUAGGUGGCAAGCGUUGUCCGGAUUUAUUGGGCGUAAAGCGGGCGCAGGCGGUUUUUUAAGCCUGAUGUGAAAGCCUUCGGCUUAACCGGAGAAGUGCAUCGGAAACUGGGAGACUUGAGUGCAGAAGAGGACAGUGGAACUCCAUGUGUAGCGGUGGAAUGCGUAGAUAUAUGGAAGAACACCAGUGGCGAAGGCGGCUGUCUAGUCUGUAACUGACGCUGAGGCUACGAAAGCAGUGGGUAGC
rnacentral:rRNA from 1 species